UUGAAGUGCAGGAGUGAUUAGUUGUUGUAAGCAUACAAUCGAGCCAAGUUGUAAUUACUUCUAAAUUCCUCAUUGAAAAAUGAGUGAAACGAACGAGAACUUAGCUGUAAGGUAGGAACUGCAUAACAACUGGAUAGUCAUCAACUUGUGAGGUGGUGCCCAUCAAGCUUCUUGAGUUUUCGAGCUUUGAUAUAGUGGGAGGUCACACAUGGUACUUCUUCAGAUUGUAGGCGCUCUACUACUUUUUGAUAUUUUUAUCAUUUCAUAAUGGCUAGGGUGUAAUUACUCUUGCCGCCUACUCUGCUGAUCUUGUACAGACCUUCCCAGAUGAGAUCCAUCUUUUUGGAGCUUUCUCUGUGGGCAAUGAUAAAGGCUUUUCUUAGGACUAGAUCUCUGGGCUGGAACUACCGGAUCUUGGCCCUUUUGUUGUAGCUGGAAAGGAACUGCUGCUGGUAAGCUACGAUGCGGGUGAUAGUUUACUCGCACUUCUCCUCUGCCAGAUUUAAGCUUGUGGCCAUCUCCUUUCGGUUGCUCGUCUUUUGGUGGUGCGAUAUGUCCAUAGUCAUCCAGGGAGUUCAUUUGGCCAUUUUCUUUUGUUACUAGUGGGGGAUUUCUUGUGGCAUUCGAAUCAUCUUGGUGGAUGCUUUGGCCCGCCUAUUGCCUUGAGAAUAUCUUGGCGUAGACAUGUGCUACUUGAUGCCAUAUUUUUGGAAGAACUUCGCCAAAUCUUUGCCCACGAAUUGCGGGCCGUUGUCGGUGACGAUGGAUUAAGGGAUGACAAAUCGACAAAUGAUGUUCCUUCAUAUGAAGCACUUUAUGUCCGUCUAAAUCGUGGUCGUC
rnacentral:lncRNA from 1 species